rnacentral:rRNA from 1 species
GACGAACGCUGGCGGCGUGCUUAACACAUGCAAGUCGAACGCGCUGUACUCCUUCGGGAGUGCAGUGAGUGGCGAACGGGUGAGUAACACGUGAGCAACCUGCCCUUGACUCUGGAAUAACAGCUGGAAACAGCUGCUAAUACCGGAUACGACCUUCGGUGGCAUCAUCUGGAGGUGGAAAGCUCCGACGGUCAAGGAUGGGCUCGCGGCCUAUCAGCUUGUUGGUGAGGUAACGGCUCACCAAGGCUUCGACGGGUAGCCGGCCUGAGAGGGCGACCGGCCACACUGGGACUGAGAUACGGCCCAGACUCCUACGGGAGGCAGCAGUGGGGAAUAUUGCACAAUGGGCGCAAGCCUGAUGCAGCAACGCCGCGUGCGGGAUGACGGCCUUCGGGUUGUAAACCGCUUUCAGUAGGGACGAAGGUAACCUGACGGUACCUACAGAAGAAGGACCGGCCAACUACGUGCCAGCAGCCGCGGUGAUACGUAGGGUCCGAGCGUUGUCCGGAAUUAUUGGGCGUAAAGGGCUUGUAGGCGGUCUGCUGCGUCGGAAGUGAAAACUCAGGGCUUAACCUGAGCCUGCUUCCGAUACGGGCAGACUAGAGGGAUGCAGGGGAGAACGGAAUUCCUGGUGGAGCGGUGGAAUGCGCAGAUAUCAGGAGGAACACCGGUGGCGAAGGCGGUUCUCUGGGCAUUUCCUGACGCUGAGAAGCGAAAGCGUGGGGAGCAAACAGGCUUAGAUACCCUGGUAGUCCACGCCGUAAACGGUGGGCACUAGGUGUGGGGAACAUUCCACGUUCUCCGUGCCGCAGCUAACGCAUUAAGUGCCCCGCCUGGGGAGUACGGCCGCAAGGCUAAAACUCAAAGGAAUUGACGGGGGCCCGCACAAGCGGCGGAGCAUGCGGAUUAAUUCGAUGCAACGCGAAGAACCUUACCUGGGUUUGACAUAUACCGGAAAGCCGUAGAGAUACGGCCCCCGCAAGGUCGGUAUACAGGUGGUGCAUGGCUGUCGUCAGCUCGUGUCGUGAGAUGUUGGGUUAAGUCCCGCAACGAGCGCAACCCUUGUCCUAUGUUGCCAGCGGAUCAUGCCGGGGACUCAUAGGAGACUGCCGGGGUCAACUCGGAGGAAGGUGGGGAUGAGGUCAAGUCAUCAUGCCCCUUAAGUCCAGGGCUUCACGCAUGCUACAAUGGCUGAUACAAAGGGCUGCAAGACCGCAAGGUUAAGCGAAUCCCAAAAAGUCAGUCUCAGUUCGGAUUGGGGUCUGCAACUCGACCCCAUGAAGUCGGAGUCGCUAGUAAUCGCAGAUCAGCAACGCUGCGGUGAAUACGUUCCCGGGCCUUGUACACACCGCCCGUCAAGUCAUGAAAGUCGGUAACACCCGAAGCCGGUGGCCCAACCCUUGUGGAGGGAGCCGUCGAAGGUGGGACUGGCGAUUAGGACU